CCAGCGGCUGCUUUUAUUCUUAGGAGAAAAUUGCUGGGGACUUCGGUGAACGAUGGCUUUCACAAGCAUUUGGAGUAAGUGAAAGAGCCUGAAACUGCUGCUGCUUAUAAAUCCAUGAGUAUGUGAGGCUGUAUGAAGCUCACUGCUGUAACCAGCCAGAAACUUCCAUUGGUAUUUUAACUAUUAACAAACAUGUCUCCCCCCCCCACCCCCAGCACAGAACAUGAUGGUAGUUCUUGAGUGAAUUGCUUGAGUAACACUUGUCUCUUUGCCUUUUCCUAGAGGGAUGACCUGUCUCGCCUUGGAAGCAAGAGAAUGUCUCAGUCUCUGAUGCUUUUGCCAAUUUUCCCUUUAACUUGUGGUUUUCCCGAGAAGUGUUAGCAGCCUUUUAACUGGUGACAGUGAGUCCUGAGGUGUUUUUGUGUCUAUAUGCCAUAUCAAGGGUAUUACUGUAAGA
rnacentral:lncRNA from 1 species